GUGUUCACCUUGGCAGUACAUAUACUAAAAUUAGAAUGAUACAGAGAUUAGCAUGGCCCCUGUGCAAGGAUGACACUUUCUAAAAAUUUAUUAGUAUUA
ensembl:snRNA U6 U6 spliceosomal RNA